rnacentral:rRNA from 1 species
AACGUAGGAGACAAACGUUAUCCGGAGUUACUGGGCGUAAAGGGCGUGCAGGCGGUCUGAUAAGUUCGGCGUGAAAUUUUCCGGCUUAACCGGGGGAUGUCGUCGGAGACUGUCGGACUAGAGGGUGAUAGAGGCGUGUGGAAUUCCGGGUGUAGUGGUGAAAUGCGUAGAGAUCCGGAGGAACACCAGUGGCGAAGGCGACACGCUGGGUCACACCUGACGCUGAUACGCGACAGCAUGGGGAGCAAACGGG